rnacentral:lncRNA from 1 species
CCUCUCAAACUUCAACUUUAUUAAAUACUUUUCAGACAAAAUGUAUACAGAACUAAUCUGAACUACGGACCAUUUUGCUAUCAAAAUUUUGAUUUUACUAUCUAAUUUCUUAAUUUGUUUAAUUUGAGUCGACGAACAACACUUUGACUUUAAAGUUUUGAAUGUGUCCUUUAAUCUCUACAGAUUAGUAGAUUUAAUGUAACUUUUGCAACUAUAAAUUUAUUAAAGUAAUUAAUUAACUUUUUAAGGUCAAAAUAAUAAACAGCAUUUUGGGCUUUAAAAUUUUGAAUAUAUUAUUUAAUCUUUACAAAUUAACUAGUAUUCUUUAUGCAGUUUUCGCAACUAUAAAUUUAUGAAAGUAAAUAAUUAACUCAAUUUUUAAGGUCAAAAUAUUAUUGACUGGCCCAAAUCAAACAAAUUAAAAGACUUGCCAGUAAAAUUAAAAUUUUAAAAGAUUAGAUAGCUAACUCAAAAUAGUUCAUAUUUCAGAUAAGUUUAGCAGGAUUUUGUAUCUACUUUUUAUCUGUCCCCAAAGGUAAAAAUAUAUAUAUAUUUAUAUAUGCAUCACACUGGAUCCAAAUUUUACUAAUUUCUUUAUUAGUUAUGUGACCUUUCAAUAGUCUCAUAUCGAAUGGGAAUAAAGUUGUCAUUGAACAUAUAAGAGAACUCCACUCGAGUAAUAAUAAUUGGGUUUAAACAUUUUGAGCCGAUAGUUAGAGCCUAAUAAAUUAUUAUUACUAGUGGGCCAGAUCGUUACAAGUUAAUAGUUAUAUACAAAUCAAAUAACUACUGAAUUUAUUUUGGCAAUCAGAAAGAAAACAAAUAAAUUUU